rnacentral:lncRNA from 1 species
AAAAGGUCGAAAAGGUCAUAAAAAAAUACGCACACACUAAAAGUCUGUCAGAUGGCCGAAGACGUGACAUGGUGAAAAUCUUGGUAGCACAUUUGACAAAUGAACAUGGAACAAGCACUUCCCGAAGUUUAAAAGAAGAAUGUGCAAAGGGAAUCAUCGCCCUAUCUUGGUUCUUGGUUGACCCCAGGAGCAAGUUUGGUUAUGUUGGGACAGCGACAUGUCUUCCAUUCAGGUGCUGCUUCACCUUUUGCCACCCUCCCAGGUUGGGACAGCGACAUGUCUUCCAUUCUGGUGCUGCUUCAUCUUUUGCCACCCUCAAGUCAAUGCUGCAAAAGACCGGGAAAGAUCUCAGCUAGACAAGCAUGUGAUCGUCUUGUGAAAUUCAUCAAGGUGAAGCUACUGAUGAAGCAGAUCGAAUGACACUUGUUCAUAAUGUUGUAUUAAUGUGUGACAUUGAACUUGCAUAAUUCUCAGAAAGGCUCUUAAAGGGUUAGUUCACCCAAAAAUGAAAAUUCUGUCAUUAAUUACUCACCCUCAUAUCAUUUCAAACCCAUAAAAAAAACGUAAUUUU